GGUUUUUUCUUUCAGGAAGGCUGGUCAUCAAAUUUUGGAGCCGUUGUGUGCAGCGUUGGUAGCCCUUUUGUGCUGAGGGAAACGGUGCUUUUUGUUUUCUGGAACCGCUUGCAGAGCGCACACUUGAGAAUCUCAGACCAAAGGUAAAAGAUUGUAUUUGUUUUGGGAUCUAUAAAAGGAUAUUACAAGGAACAUAUCUUGGCUGUUGAUACCAUACUUGGAUUCUAAACUCUCCAAAGCUGCCUUCAUCUGGGUUAUUUUCUCAACAUUCUCUUUUUCGUGUACGGUUGGUUUCGUAUACCAUUGCAAGUGUUAAAUUUGUGAUUUGUUGUUUAUGUGGUGAAAAAAUAGGUUGCUAGAAUGAUUCAGAUUAUUUAUUUGUUACACGAAAAAAAACUUUUAGAACUCCCGGUAGAAAGAGAUUUCGCUAACGAAAAAGUCUUUUAUUUUUUUGUGAGACUUAAGAGGUUACCUUCUCCAAACGCAUAAAUGGACUUUUGAAGAAGGCUUUUGACCUCUCUAUCCUCUACGAUGCUGAAGUUGCCCUCAUGAUCAUCUUCUCUCCCUCUGGCAUGGCCUGCCAAUUUGCAAGCCACGAGUACGUUUAAUUAACAAAUAAUUCAACUAGCUAGCUAGGUUUGAUGAUCAUCUUUUCAAUUAAUAUGGUUUUGCUAACGUGUAAUGCAGUAUAAACAGGACCAUUUCCAUGUAUAGAGAAUUAGUCUCCAGUUGUGUCAUGGGUUGUGUCAUCCCACAAACAAUUAUGCCAUGAGUGGGGUGCUGGAUGAUUGUUAAAACAUGAGACUUAUCAAAAUGCAAAUAGGAAAUAACACCUAUGUAAGUAUACUCUGGUUUUGACCCUGCAUUCUUAGUUGUGUGAGAUAUAUAUGGUUGAUAUCAACUAAUUAUGCAUAUUGCAAUUAUAUUCCCUUAAUUAAUGGGGCUAACCUUUAUGAAUUGAGUAUAGGAUUUAGAUGCAUAGUGUUUCGCUGGGAACAUGAAGACUGCAUUUGGGAGUGUGCAUUAAAUGUAUUUGAUGCAUCAACAUUUUUUUUACUUAAAAUAACCCCAAAGGUUUGGCCUUUCUGUAUUUUCAUAUAGCAUUCAACCAACAACAUGCCAUUAGGUCUCUGUUCUCUACACAAACUAAAACAAAUAUUAAGUCCUUUAAACCAAUAAGUAAUGAUAAUUACGUUAUUGUCUUUCCCAAUACACAACAAAUUGGAACAAAAACUAUAUAUAUAUAACACUUCCAUAUGCUUAUUUCUCUUUCUUAGAUGAAAUUAUCCAUAUGUCAAAUAAACCAUAGUGGAUAAUUUCACUUCAUUAUAUAUAACACUUCCACAUGCUUAUUUCACUUCAUUAUUUUUUGCAUUCCAGUUGGUCUUUGUUUCGUUCUCAGAUAGUUAUCAGCAUAGAUAAAGUAAAAUUCCGUUCUUGGCUCUCUUUUUUGUUACUGUAGCAUCUGCUUAUCUGUUAGUGUAAAUUUGGGUUAUGUUGGAUUUUUCAAUUUGAUUCUCCAAUAUAUUUUUUUGAUGACAAACUGUUCUAAUCAGUAAUUCCCCACUCUUGAGAACUUGAGACCUUCGACUGAUAUGCAUUUCUGAGAUUUUCUGGUAUACUCACAGACCCCUGAGAUUUUCGUGUCUCCACAGUUCUCCAGCCAACGACAGACCCCUGGUUGCCAUACUUUCGUUGCACGCAGAUCUUCUGUCCAGUCGUGCAGAAGACAUCUCCAUUAACCGGUAACAGAUGAAAUCGUUUGCUGUCGAGGUUCCCGUGAAGAAGAGCAAAAAUGCUGCAAGUGGAGGAUAGAUAACAGCUCAAGACACAUGGUAUGAGGGUGCAGGUAAACUGUACAUAUGCAUCUGGAAAAAGUAAAAAGUUAAGGCGGGUUGGUUGUAACUUAUCCUUCUCACCACAACAGAAAAUACUUUUGAACUGCAUUAAGCUGUUAAAAAAUUAAGCUUAAGCUAUAUUUUACUUAUCAAAAAUGGGUAACCUGUCACCUUUACAAAGUUUUCUGGUAAAUUAGAUAUAUAGUUUAAUUCAAAGAGUUGUAUUGACCUUUACUUUUAUUAAAUUAUAUAGUUUAAUUA